UCUGCAGUACAAAUCUUGCCAAUUCAUCCUACACGCAACCUCCCUCCACCUUCAUUUAAGUAUGCUCCUAACCCACAAGCCAUCCACACUCCACUCCAAUCCCUGCACUCUCCAAUCUCUGCAGCUGUUUUCAACCAUACUCAGUAAAUCAAGAAACUCUCAAACAACUCCAGCAACGCCUUCGAGAACAACUCCACACAAGGUUACCUCAAACUCCAUACAUUUAUAAUUUCUCUUCUACAUUUUCAUCCAUGUUGUUAAGAAAAUGAAGAAGAAUCAUAGAGAAUAAACCCAGCUCAUAUCAGAGAACUCAAGGACUGUACACGAAAUCAUUUCUUAUUGUUUUUGAUGCUCACACAAGAACACAUCAGUAGAAUAACUUCUCUUCCUUAUAACUUAAAAUUUCAGAAACUCAAAACACCCAAAAAUCAAAUCUUUUCAAAUCUGAGAUUUCUCUUUUCGUUGCCUUGUUGAGUGUGAGAGACGAGAGGGAGAUGGGUACGGGCUGUCCGAGCUCGACGCCGAGCUGUCAAGGCCGCGGCUGCCGGCGCUGCAUGCGUUGCUGCAGCCCGCCGACCACCCACGGCCAAGACAGACGGAGUCGGAGCGAGGCGACGUCGUGGGCGAGGCUGGGGCGGCGCGGCCGAAGGCCAAGCGCCGCUAACGCGGCGUGAACGGAGCAGCAGCGGCGGCGUCCCUUCUUGGCCGUCCGCUGCCGGAAACGCGAGAGAAGGGAGGCGAUGAGUGAGGGAGGCCUCGGAUCCGGCGACUUCGCCGGAGCUGGAGCAGGCGGCCGGCUGGAGCUUGGGAGGAAGGGCGGACUGGCAGAGCAACUGGAGAGAGAGGACGCGAGAGUUGAGAGAGGGACAGAUGGGAAGAGGGGCGACGGCGUGGCUUCAUGUGGGAGAGAGAGAGGGCGGCGGAUAGAGAGGGAAAGAGAGGGAGCCGAUGAUGAGUGUGAGGAGAGAGAGAGUGAAUUUUUGGCUUUUCAUUUUAGAUUUUUAGGUUUCCUUGUAAGUUUUGGGCUCUUUUCAAAAGCUGAUGGAUUUUUCUUUAAUGGGCCGAGUUUUUAAAGUAUGUGUUGGGCUGAUUUCAUCCAUCUGAUGGGCUCUAUUCAUUUAAUUUACUUGGGCUCAUUUAAAUUGAACAAGUCUUUAAAUUAUUUUCUUGGACAUAAUUAUUAUUUUGGGUAUGUAAAUGAUUUAAUAAACUUUAUUAAUUUUCUCCCAAGAUUAAGAUUUUAUAUUUUUAAAUUAUUAAUUAUUUUAUAAGUUUUAAAUUUAAUAUUAUUAAUUAUAUCUAUUAAGUUAUUAAUUAUGUAUUAAAAGUUUAUGGAUUCACUUAAAGAUAUUAUAGAAUUCUUAUUCGGGCAAGGUGUAUCACUAGUUAGCAAUCCCCAUAUUUGUUUAGAAGUUAGAAUAGCACCAAGAGACCUAUUAAGAAUAGAUUUCUUGUAGGCUUGAGGAUCAGGAGGAUUAGCACUGCGUUUCCGUGACGGGUUUACGAUUAAACUACAGGCUUUGCCUAUUCAGGCUUGAGGAUCAGGAGGAUUAGCACUGCGUUUCCGUGACGGGUUUACGAUUAAACUACAGGCUUUGCCUAUUCAGGUGAGCUUUAUUUUACAUACAAUGUAUCUUGAGUUAUAUAAGCUCUGAUAUUUCAUGAAAAUUAUCUGUUUAUCCAAUAUAAAUGUUUUUAUGUGCGUUCUGUAAUUGUUUAAGGCUCACUUAAGCAUCGAUCGAGAUUCUCAUUUGGCCUAACACGCUAAAUGAGGAUUGUGUACACAGGGUUAGUGGCUCGAUAGGUUGAUCACCAUCGUGCACUAACAGAUUUAGAACGUUAUAAGGGUGGGUGCUUGACAGGAGGUUAUCCGGAGCACGGUGCUUGACAGGAGGUUAUCCGGAGCACAGUUAAGGUUAUUGAUUCCGAACCGGGUGCGUCCCGAGAUCAAUAACAGAUUUUGGAUCUGACUGGGUGCGUCCCGAGAUCAGUGAAUGUAGGGAGGAAGUGAGUAACAAUCGAACGUACAUGGCGCGCCACUUAAUGAAGAAAAGUUUUGUCAUGCUUAGAAGUGGGAUUCCGUUUUAAAACCUUCUAAGUCAUGAUUGUGAUAUUGGAUAAACUGCUUCGAUUACUUCAUAAAAUAUUUCGAAAACUUGUGCCCACUGAGUACAUUAGUACUCAGCCCAAAUUAUUUUCAAAUGUUUUCAGGUUGAUCGGUUGGUGCAGACGGGACUGAGCUGAGGCUAGGGUUCUACGAUGUCUUUUGCUUCCGCUAAUGACUAGCUUGUCACCUCGUUCUCCAUUCCCUAAAUUGAAACUUCUAUUAUGUGGUACAAUAUUAUCUUGUUGGGCUUAGACUCUUAACCCAUAUUUCUAUUAGUGAAGCUAUCAAUGAUUAUAAUCAGAGUCACGAAACUAAACCUAUGCGAUCCUGAGUUUGAAUAUUGUCAUUUGAUUGGCAUCUCUCAACGCCUUUCAUUUUAUCUUCUUUCAUCUUA